ensembl:lncRNA
GACGCUUCUGAGGAAGGCGAGUGUUCGCCGAAACUGUCAAGCAAGAUGUUAAAGGAGGUUUAUUCGUGACGUAUAACCAAUCAAAUCACUCCAGAAGGCAGAGCGACCACAGACAUAUGAUGCUACUCUGGUUGUUCUGGCCCUGGGUCGCUGCACUCCUCCUCUGUUGUUUUCUGGAUUGUACUCAGCUGCAUGUCUUCGUCCACCCGACCUCCGUUGACUCGUCCCGCCUGCCGUCUCUGGAGCUGAAGCUGGAUUGGAACAGACCAAAGUACAGUCCAAUCACGAUGCCAGCUGCCUCUCAAAAGGCUCCUUCAUCUGGCAGGUGGCGGCACUUCUUCUGAGGGGAAGCUGAGCUGGCCCGGCAGAACUUUGGAGAUGUGUUCUAGUGGUUGGUGGAUGUGUGGGGAGAUAGAGAGGGACCUUUGAAUUGUUCACAAAGGAAAACAGGGAACCCAUUGGUAGUUUUAGUUUAGGGUGCUACUGCAGUGUGUUUUUGGGUUUUAAGAGGUGAACAGGAAGAGUUGUUUUUCGUAUUGAUUAUCUUUUACUUUGUUCCUGGUUGGAAUGCCCAUCAAUGUCAAAGUGAAGUUCACUUUUAGUUCUGUUAAUUUAUUUUUAUUUUACUUACACCCAUUUGCUUUUAACCC